GCCGAGAUAGCUCAGUCGGUAGAGCAAAAGACUGAAAAUCUUUGUGUCACCAGUUCAAGUCUGGUUCUUGGCA